rnacentral:tRNA from 1 species
GUAGGAUGUAGUGUAGGGGUAGCACUUAGAAUUUUGGAUUCUGGGGUAUAGGUUCAAGUCCUAUUGUCCUA